rnacentral:rRNA from 1 species
ACUCAAAUGAAUUGACGGGGGCCCGCACAAGCGGUGGAUCAUGUGGUUUAAUUCGAAGCAACGCGAAAAACCUUACCUAGGUUUGACAUCUCCGGCUACCAGCAGAAAUGUUGGGUUCGUAGCAAUACGACCGGAAGACAGGUGCUGCAUGGCUGUCGUCAGCUCGUGUGGUGACAUGUUGGGUUAAGUCCCGCAACGAGCGCAACCCCUGCUUCUAGUUGCCAGCAUUCAGUUGGGCACUCUAGAGGGACUGCCGUGGUUAACACGGAGGAAGGUGGGGAUGACGUCAAGUCCUCAUGGCCUUUAUAUCUAGGGCGACACACGUGAUACAAUGGACGGUACAGAGGGAAGCCAAAGCGCGAGCUGGAGCCAAUCUCAAAAAGCCGUUCUCAGUUCGGAUUGGAGUCUGCAACUCGACUCCAUGAAGUUGGAAUCGCUAGUAAUCGCGGAUCAGCACGCCGCGGUGAAUACGUUCCCGGGCCUUGUACACACCGCCCGU